rfam:Hordeum vulgare subsp. vulgare, WGS project CAJW01000000 data, contig: morex_contig_140446
UACAUACUCCCUCCGUCAAGACAUACUUGUCGUAGGAAUGGAUGUAUCUAGAUGUAUUNNAGUUCUAGAUACAUCCAUUUGUAUCCAUCUUUGUGACAAGUUAUUCCGGGCGGAGGGGGUAUGCA